rnacentral:rRNA from 1 species
GUCCACGCCGUAAACGAUGGGCACUAGGCGUCGGGGGGAGUGACCCUCCCGGUGCCGUCGCUAACGCAGUAAGUGCCCCGCCUGGGGAGUACGGCCGCAAGGCUGAAACUCAAAGGAAUUGACGGGGGCCCGCACAAGCGGUGGAGCAUGUGGUUUAAUUCGAAGCAACGCGAAGAACCUUACCUGGGCUUGACAUGCUGGUGUAAGCCGGUGGAAACAUCGGCCCCUCUUCGGAGCGCCAGCACAGGUGCUGCAUGGCUGUCGU